UACCUUCUGGUGUUUGAGUUCUGC
rnacentral:piRNA from 2 species